rnacentral:rRNA from 1 species
UACGUAGGGGGCGAGCGUUGUCCGGAUUUAUUGGGCGUAAAGAGCUCGUAGGCGGUUUGGUAAGUCGGGUGUGAAAUCUCCACGCUCAACGUGGAGGGGCCACUCGAUACUGCCAUGACUCGAGUCCGGUAGAGGAGUGUGGAAUUCCCGGUGUAGCGGUGAAAUGCGCAGAUAUCAGGAAGAACACCCGUGGCGAAAGCGGCUCUCUGGAACGGUACUGACGCUGAGACGCGAAAGCGUGGGGAGCGAACAGG